GUACUGAGACACGGACCAGACUCCUACGGGAGGCAGCAGUAAGGAAUAUUGGUCAAUGGGCGCAAGCCUGAACCAGCCAUGCCGCGUGCAGGAAGACGGCCCUACGGGUUGUAAACUGCUUUUAUACGGGAAUAAUUCUCCAUUCGUGAAUGGAGUUGAAUGUACUGUAAGAAUAAGGAUCGGCUAACUCCGUGCCAGCAGCCGCGGUAAUACGGAGGAUCCAAGCGUUAUCCGGAUUUAUUGGGUUUAAAGGGUGCGUAGGCGGCUUUUUAAGUCAGGGGUGAAAGACGGUGGCUCAACCAUCGCAGUGCCUUUGAUACUGAAGAGCUAGAUUACACUAGAGGUAGGCGGAAUGUGACAAGUAGCGGUGAAAUGCAUAGAUAUGUCACAGAACACCGAUUGCGAAGGCAGCUUACUAUGGUGUCAAUGACGCUGAGGCACGAAAGCGUGGGGAUCAAACAGGAUUAGAUACCCUGGUAGUCCACGCCCUAAACGAUGAAUACUCGAUGUUAGCGAUAUACAGUUAGCGUCAAAGCGAAAGCGUUAAGUAUUCCACCUGGGGAGUACGCCCGCAAGGGUGAAACUCAAAGGAAUUGACGGGGGCCCGCACAAGCGGAGGAGCAUGUGGUUUAAUUCGAUGAUACGCGAGGAACCUUACCCGGGCUUGAAAGUUAGUGAAUGGAUCAGAGAUGGUUCAGUGAGCAAUCACACGAAACUAGGUGCUGCAUGGCUGUCGUCAGCUCGUGCCGUGAGGUGUUGGGUUAAGUCCCGCAACGAGCGCAACCCCUAUGUUUAGUUGCCAGCACGUUAAGGUGGGGACUCUAAACAGACUGCCUGUGCAAACAGAGAGGAAGGAGGGGACGACGUCAAGUCAUCAUGGCCCUUACGUCCGGGGCUACACACGUGCUACAAUGGACGGUACAGAGGGCAGCUACUUCGCAAGGAGACGCCAAUCUCAAAAAGCCGUUCACAGUUCGGAUAGAGGUCUGCAACUCGACCUCUUGAAGUUGGAUUCGCUAGUAAUCGCAGAUCAGCAAUGCUGCGGUGAAUACGUUCCCGGGCCUUGUACACACCGCCCGUCAAGCCAUGGAAGCUGGGAGUACCUGAAGUGCGUAACCGCAAGGAGCGUCCUAGGGUAAAAUCGGUAACUGGGGCUAAGUCGUAACAAGGUAGCCGUACCGGAAGGUGCGGCUG
rnacentral:rRNA from 1 species